ACGGGGAGAGCAAGCGUUGUUCGGAAUCACUGGGCGUAAAGGGCGUGUAGGCGGUCAGGUUAGUGGGACGUGAAAUGCCCCGGCUCACCCGGGGACCUGCGUCCCAAACUGCCUGGCUUGAGUAUGGGAGAGGAUGAGGGAAUUCCUGGUGUAGCGGUGAAAUGCGUAGAUAUCGGGAGGAACACCAGCGGCGAAGGCGACUUCCUGGCCUGUUCUUGACGCUGAGGCGCGAAAGCUAGGGUAGCAAACGGGA
rnacentral:rRNA from 1 species